rnacentral:rRNA from 1 species
CACGCCCUAAACGAUGCUUACUCGACGUAUGGCACUAGUUGUUGUGCGUCCAAGGGAAACCGUUAAGUAAGCCACCUGGGGAGUACGACCGCAAGGUUGAAACUCAAAGGAAUUGACGGG